ACGCUCAUGUUUCGCUUCAGAUCGUAUAAAUCUUUCGCCUUUUACUUAAUAUUUCCAUGGGGAGGAACACCACGAGUAUAAUUUUUUUAACGCCCUGCUGAAUGGCGGGGCU